UCCCGGCUCAGGCACACUCGCUCGCUCGGGGCUCACACGCCCGGCCCAGACACCAGCGCGUUGGAGAGCACCGGGUGGGGUCCCCGAAGGGUGAGGCUCGGAGGCGCCGCAGAGGUGGGGGCUCCCUAGACAGGAAGGGGCGCUGCGGGAAGGACCCCCAGGGAGGCUGCGUUUAACCCUCGACGCCCUGUACCCAGCCCUGCGCCGCGCGCUCUGCCGCCUUCCCGGACUCCUCCCGGGGCGCGGGAGCCCAGCGGCGCGCCCAGCCCUUACCUAUGGUGGUGAUGACCGUGAUGGCAAAGUAGAAGGAGCCGGCGAAUUUCCACUGGACGCCGGCGCGGUGCGGCUCGGACUGCAGGAUCACCAGCUCCAGCUGCCGGUAGUCCUCGCUGCUGAUGUUGUACUUCCCCUUGAUCCGGAUCUCCUCGGCUUUGAGUUUUUCCUCCUCGCGCAUCUCGUGGUCCGACUCCAGGGCGUCGAACACGGCGGCGCCCACCAGCAGAUGGGAAAACUUCCAGCAAGACGGGAUCACGUGCCCAGGAUCCCACAGUGUUUCCGAUGUGGAGCCAGCCCUGGAAGCCUCUCCCUGGCUUCUGUCUAGCGCUGCUUCGAGGACCCCUGCAGCUUUCUGGCCCCAAGCUUAAAUGCCUUGACUGACCACCUACCAGCCCCCAGGCGCUGGUUCUUCCUCUCUUCCGCCCUCAGAAAUAGACCCGUGGACUCAGGCCCGCCCAGGCAGUGUCUGAGCCGUGGAAGUGGAGGGUUCCUCGUCCGCGCGUCCACUCCCGCCCAUGUGCCACUUUCCAAGGUGCUGGACCUGUGGAUGGAAUGGAAGCUCUUUGGAGCAGAGCCUGGGGCUCAGACAUCUUCCCUGAGUCCCCAGCAUCCAUCCCGAUGGUGUAUGCCACAUGGCAGCCCAGAGAGUCUGCUGGGGGCAGUGCCUCUGGAUCUGCCACCCUCGAAGUCCCUGUGGGUCUGGGAGUCCCAACUGCAGCCUCACCUGAAGAAGGAUGCGGAAAUGAGGUGUGGCCAAUCAGAGUCCAGAAUUCCCCAGGGCCACAGUGAUUGGCUGGACUUGGACGCGUGAAGGUCCACCUCAACCAAUCAGAGCCCUCCUCUGGGUAGGGCUGUCAGCAGAUUGGUGACCUGAGGAGGGAGGUGGGUUCUUCCUGACUUUGAGAACCCGGAUGCAGGCACGUGGUACACACACAAGGGUGAGCAAGUGCAUUCCCUCGUGGAUUUAAACCACAGUCAGCUGGUCCCAAGCCUGCCCAGUGCUGCUGCUGCCCAUGUGCUGUGUUCACAGGUGUUCGUGCCAUCCAGCAGCCCCACCCUAGGCCUCCCUUGGACCUGUUUCUGUAAAAACAGAUGUACCUUAUUAGCUAAUAAAGAACAUCGUGGUUUUAUAACU